GUCUGCGGCCAUGCCACCCUGAACAAGCCCGAUGUCUGAUCUCGGAAGCUAAGCAGGAUCGAGCCUGGUUAGUACUUGGAUGGGAGACCACCUAGGAAGACCAGGUGUUGUAGGCA
rnacentral:rRNA from 1 species